rnacentral:rRNA from 1 species
GAUGAACGCUGGCGGCGUGCUUAACACAUGCAAGUCGAGCGAGUGAGUUCUUCGGAACGAUCUAGCGGCGGACGGGUGAGUAACACGUGGGCAACCUGCCUCAUAGAGGGGAAUAGCCUCCCGAAAGGGAGAUUAAUACCGCAUAACAUCGUUGAAGGGCAUCCUUCGAUGAUCAAAGGAGCAAUCCGCUAUGAGAUGGGCCCGCGGCGCAUUAGCUAGUUGGUGAGGUAACGGCUCACCAAGGCGACGAUGCGUAGCCGACCUGAGAGGGUGACCGGCCACAUUGGGACUGAAGCACGGCCCAGACUCCUACGGGAGGCAGCAGUGGGGAAUAUUGCACAAUGGGGGAAACCCUGAUGCAGCAACGCCGCGUGAGUGAUGACGGCCUGCGGGUUGUAAAGCUCUGUCUUUGGGGACGAUAAUGGCGGUACCCAAGGAGGAAGUCACGGCUAACUACGUGCCAGCCGCCGCCGUAA